UUUUAGCCCUGAUUGAACGGCUUGUUUGAGCUCUUUUCUUUGUGCUGAUUUUUUUCAGCACAAAGAAAAAGCGAGUAGUGAAAGCAGGAAAUAGC
rnacentral:misc_RNA from 1 species